GGCGGCUCCGCUCGCCCCGGGAGGGAGCCCGCGGCCAGGGCUGGACUCUCGCCCCGCCACCUCCACCGACUCUCUCCUCAGCCUCCGCGCCUGGCACCGCAGCAAGACUUGAAUGAAGUGAUCAUGUAAACUAGAGAAAGGAGAUUAAAAAUAACCUCUGGAUAUUCCUCUCAUGUGAUCUUUAUUCUGGAUGAAGCAUUAGGACAGCUAAUAGCCGUGUGUCACUUAAAAAUCCAACUUGAGAACUGUCACCAAAGAUGUCUAGGAACUUUGAAGAAACAUGAAGGCAAUUUGCUGCCAGAAGUGUGUUUUCCUUUUUAAAAGAAAAUCAAACUACCUGUAGCUACUUGGGGAAUGAUGAAGAAAUAGAGAAGUCUUUGUGGGGUUUCAGGAGCCAUUUGAUUCAAGUAAGUCGGUGAGUAGCCUGCCCGACCGGAGGAAGCCAGACUGACCCAUAAUGACUCCAACCAUCCAACAAGUGUGGAUUGACCGCCUACUGUGUUCAGUGUGACAUGGAGGGGAGAUGAAUUUUUAAGAUGAGAGAGGAGGCCGGGCGCGGUGGCUCACGCCUGUAAUCCCAGCACUUUGGGAGGCCGAGGCGGGCGGAUCAUGAGGU
rnacentral:lncRNA from 1 species